rnacentral:rRNA from 1 species
UACGUAGGUGGCGAGCGUUGUCCGGAUUUAUUGGGCGUAAAGGGAGUGUAGGCGGUCUUUUAAGUCUGGUGUGAAAGCCCACGGCUCAACCGUGGAGGGUCAUUGGAAACUGGGAGACUUGAGUGCAGAAGAGGAGAGCGGAAUUCCAUGUGUAGCGGUGAAAUGCGUAGAUAUAUGGAGGAACACCAGUGGCGAAGGCGACUUUCUGGUCUGUAAUUGACGCUGAGGCUCGAAAGCGUGGGUAGCGAACAGGAUUAGAAACCCCUGUAGUCC